rnacentral:lncRNA from 1 species
GUCACUCAUUUUAGGACUACUUCCGUCCUAAUACAUUUAACUCUUUUAAGGAUCUAGCCACCACCUAAAAUGCUCAAGCUGAAUUAAGAGUAGUAGCCUUAUUAUAUCAUAAUAUAGAACUAUAUGGGAUCUCACACCCCCUCCCCCCCCCUCCCCCUUCUAAACUCUGACAUUCUCGUUAGGCUCAGACUCAUAAAUAUCAGGAACCGACCUUAUGGAAGAGCCGCAUUUUACCCACAACAGUGAAUCAUAUGAGAGUCUCGUUCUCUCCGCUAUAUACUUCUGGCUCAGUCGAGACUCAUCUCAUACCAACUGGUAAUUGACUUUAAUACCAAAUAUAACGAUUCAACUUUCCAGAAGGUCACCUAUCGUAGGACUACUCCCAUCCUAGCACGCUUAACUUUCUUAACAUUUUGGACCUAAUCAACAUUCAAAAUGUUCAAACUGAGUUAAAAAUAUUAGCCCAAUUAUAUCAUACAUAAAUAUAUAGAACUAUCC